GCAGCCGCGGUAAUACGUAGGGGGCAAGCGUUAUCCGGAUUUACUGGGUGUAAAGGGAGCGUAGACGGCAGGGCAAGUCCGAUGUGAAAACCCGGGGCUCAACCGCGGGAUUGCAUUGGAAACUGCUCGGCUCGAGUACUGGAGGGGUAAGCGGAAUUCCUAGUGUAGCGGUGAAAUGCGUAGAUAUUAGGAGGAACACCGGCGGCGAAGGCGGCUUACUGGACAGUAACUGACGUUGAGGCUCGAAAGCGUGGGGAGCAAACAGGAUUAGAUACCCC
rnacentral:rRNA from 1 species